GUCAAUUUAAUUAUCAUCAUUUACGAAGUUGAAUAAUUCAAAAUAUCCAAUUAUUUUAUAAAAGUUGAAGAGACUUGAGUUUAUAAAUUUUAGAUUUCUAGUUGUUUCAUGGUAAAACAUUACAGCGAUUAGUAUUCAACUAAAUUAUCUUACAGUGCACGAUAAAAAGGUCAAAAAUCUACGAAUUUUUGUAUUUAAGGGUAUUUUUAACUAGAUGAAGGUUAUCUACUAAGCCCUAUUGAUUCCAAGACAUUUGGAUGAUUCUUUACUAAAUAAUGGAUAAUACUGCAUGUAAACAACUCGUUCCAUCAAAAAAUUAUUUUUGCUUCAAAUUUUUCUCUACUCUUUCCAAUUCAAGACAGUUUAAUCCAAUCGGUAGUUCGAAUGAACUGAUACGAAGUAGCUGUAAAGAAACAAUGAACUGGUAGUUCAAAUGAACCCUCACAAAGUAGCUGCAAAGAAAUAAUAAACUAGUGGUUCAAAUGAACAGACACGAAGUAGCUGUAAAGAAACAAUGAAGUAGUAGUUCAAAUGAAGCGAUAAGACGUACCUGCAAAUAAAUAACGAACGAGUAGUUCAACGAACUAAUAUCAAGUAGCCAUAAAUGAAAAACGAAAACUUAACAAAAAUGGAUUUAUUAUCACAGUUUGAACAAAUUUGAGGAUUUAUCAAAAUAAAUAAAAAAAAACUGAA